rnacentral:rRNA from 1 species
GAUGAACGCUGGCUACAGGCUUAACACAUGCAAGUCGAGGGGAAACGACGGGGAAGCUUGCUUCCCCGGGCGUCGACCGGCGCACGGGUGAGUAACGCGUAUCCAACCUGCCUCUGACUGAGGGAUAACCCGUCGAAAGUCGGCCUAAUACCUCAUGGUAUCGUCUGCGGGCAUCCAACGACGAUUAAAGAUUUCAUCGGUCAGGGAUGGGGAUGCGUCUGAUUAGCUUGUUGGCGGGGUAACGGCCCACCAAGGCUACGAUCAGUAGGGGUUCUGAGAGGAAGGUCCCCCACAUUGGAACUGAGACACGGUCCAAACUCCUACGGGAGGCAGCAGUGAGGAAUAGUGAUCAAUGGGCGAGAGCCUGAACCAGCCAAGUAGCGUGCAGGAAGACGGCCCUAUGGGUUGUAAACUGCUUUUAUGCGGGGAUAAAGUGAGGGACGUGUCCCUCAUUGCAGGUACCGCAUGAAUAAGGACCGGCUAAUUCCGUG